GACGGAGGAUGCAAGUGUUAUCCGGAAUCACUGGGCGUAAAGCGUCUGUAGGUGGUUCGAAAAGUCCACUGUUAAAAAUUGAGGCUUAACUUCAAAGAUGCCGUGGAAACUUUCAAACUAGAGUAUGGUAGGGGUAGAGGGAAUUUCCAGUGGAGCGGUGAAAUGCGUAGAUAUUGGAAAGACCACCGAUGGCGAAGGCACUCUACUGGGCCACUACUGACGCUGAGAAGCGAAAGCAUGGGGAGCGAACAGG
rnacentral:rRNA from 1 species